GGCGGGUUAGCGUAAUGGUUAACGCGCUAGUUUCCGGAAAAGUCGAGUGCCUGGGACUCGAACCCGUCGUAGCUAGAGAUUCCGAGUUCGAGUCUCGGGCCUGUCG